UACACUCCUACGGGAGGCAGCAGUGGGGAAUUUUACGCAAUGGGGGAAACCCUGACGUAGCGACACCGCGUGAGCGAAGAAGCCCUUUGGGGUGUAAAGCUCUGUCAGCUGGAACGAAAACAAUGACGGUACCAGCAGAGGAAGCAUCGGCUAACUACGUGCCAGCAGCCGCGGUAAGACGUAGGAUGCGAGCGUUGUCCGGAUUUAUUGGGCGUAAAGAGUUCGUAGGUGGUUUGUUAAGUUUGGUGUUAAAGAUCGGGGCUCAACCCUGGGACUGCACUGAAUACUGGCAGACUCGAGUGUGGUAGAGGCUAGUGGAAUUCCCAGUGUAGCGGUGAAAUGCGUAGAUAUUGGGAAGAACACCGGUGGCGUAGGCGACUAGCUGGGCCAUAACUGACGCUGAGGAACGAAAGCCAGGGGAGCGAAUGGGAUUAGAAACCCGUGUAGUCCCAUGAU
rnacentral:rRNA from 1 species